AUGAUACCAGCAGCACAUAUACUAAUGUUGGAACCAUAGAGAAGAUUAGCCUGGCCCCAGUGCAAGGAAGACAUACAAGCAUUCUGUAUUUUU
ensembl:snRNA U6 U6 spliceosomal RNA